rnacentral:lncRNA from 1 species
AAAAAAAUUUUAAUUAAAAAUAUAAACACUAAACACACUAAAUUUUUUUGAAAAAAAAAAAAAUCAAAGCUCACAUUCUUCAAUAGCACUUUUUGCAGAUCGAUCGAGUGAGAGAUUGAGCGCGGGAUCGAGCGAGAGCGGGUGUGAGGAUGGAGCGAGGGACUCAGCUUCUGCAGAUCAAGCGAGAGAGGGUGUGAGAGGGGGUGGCGGGUUGGAGAUGGAGAGGAGAGAGAGAGAGAGGUUGACAGGGAAAUGGGGGAAAUGGAGAGGAGAGAGAGAGAGAUUGACUGGGUAAAGUUGGGAAAUGGGGGGGAAAUGGAGAGGAGAGAGAAAGAGAGAGAUUGAUAGGGUAACGAAGGGGGGCUCCGUUAGCUUCCGUUUGUCCACUGAAAUUAGCCCCCCUUCUUGCACGGAUCGCGAAGCAAUCCAACGGUCAGAAAAUCGGUAGCAACUUUAGCAUUCUACUACUAAUAGCAGCCCAGCGUUACUCUAUAUAUAUAUAUAUAGUGUAGAGACCCGCGCGAUGCAGCGGGUAGAUAAUAAAAAUAAAUUUUUAAUAUUUUAAUAAAAUUUAUAUUUACAGCUUAUAGGAAGCUAUAUCAUGUUAAGCACAGUCAAUUUACAUGACUAAAUUCAGUUGUUAAAAAAAUAAAAUAAUAGCUAGAAGUAUAUGAAAUACAUAAAUAAUAACUUAACGUAUUUGGCUUAAGAAAAUUUUGGUUGGCGUCUCAGGCUCCAAUCUCCGCAUCAUACUUUUUAAUCUAUGAAAGAAAUUUUGCCCACAACAGUAUCUACUCAAAAAAAUGAUCAUAAUAUGAAAAUAAAAUAAAAAACAUUAAUCUUAAAAAAAUUAAUAUUUUUUGAAGCACUUCUCUUACUCAUCCAAAUCUCAUAUAUCUUCUUAAUCUUCAGCUGGUAGUUGCUCCGCGCGCCGAGUCAUUUCUGAAUUUCUAUUGUAACCUAUGAACAAACACCUCAUCUGCAUCACCAAACUGCGAUAUCUAAACCGAUAUAGCCUUACCAUCACAUCAAUCACAGAAAUCCUUAUUCUUAAACAAUUUGAUUUACCAAGAAGUUCCUGUGAUUCUUGAGAAGCGAGCUCCUGCGCAACGUCGCCGCGAAGAGGAGGCUAGGACGGCGCUCCCCUCGGCCUAGUUGCGGGCGCGU